CUACGGGAGGCAGCAGUGGGGAAUAUUGCACAAUGGGCGAAAGCCUGAUGCAGCGACGCCGCGUGAGGGAUGAAGGCCUUCGGGUUGUAAACCUCUUUCGCCAGGGAAGAAGCGUGAGUGACGGUACCUGGAGAAGAAGCACCGGCUAACUACGUGCCAGCAGCCGCGGUAAUACGUAAGGUGCGAGCGUUGUCCGGAAUUAUUGGGCGUAAAGAGCUUGUAGGCGGUUUGUCGCGUCUGUCGUGAAAAUCCAUGGCUUAACUGUGGACGUGCGGUGGGUACGGGCAGGCUAGAGUGUGGUAGGGGAGACUGGAAUUCCUGGUGUAGCGGUGAAAUGCGCAGAUAUCAGGAGGAACACCAAUGGCGAAGGCAGGUCUCUGGGCCACUACUGACGCUGAGAAGCGAAAGCGUGGGGAGCGAACAGGAUUAGAAACCCCGGUAGUCC
rnacentral:rRNA from 1 species